rnacentral:rRNA from 1 species
CCCUACGGGGCGCAGCAGGCGCGAAAUCUUCACAAUGUGCGAAAGCACGAUGAGGGGAUCCCAAGUGUUGGUUCGUAAGAAUCAUCUGUUUCUUUGUCUAAAAAACAGAGAGAGUAAGAGCUGGGUAAGACGGGUGCCAGCCGCCGCGGUAAUACCUGCAGCUCAAGUGGUGGCCGCUAUUAUUGGGCCUAAAACGUCCGUAGCCGGUUUAGUAAAUGCUUGGGUAAAUUGUGUAGCUCAACUAUACGAAUACCGAGUAGACUGCUGAACUUGGGACCGGGAGAGGCUAGAGGUACUCCUAGGGUAGAGGUGAAAUUCUGUAAUCCUAGGGGGACCACCAGUGGCGAAGGCGUCUAGCUAGAACGGGUCUGACGGUGAGGGACGAAGCCCUGGGGCGCAAACCGGAUUAGAUACCCGGGUAGUCCAGGGUGUAAACGCUGCUCGCUUGAUGUUAGUUGGGCUCCGAGCCCAACUAGUGUCGGAGAGAAGUUGUUAAGCGAGCUGCCUGGGAAGUACGGUCGCAAGGCUGAAACUUAAAGGAAUUGGCGGGGGAGCAC